rnacentral:misc_RNA from 1 species
CAUUUGGUAAUGGAGCUUUGUGCUGGAGGAGAGCUUUUUCACCAGUUAGAAAAGCAGGGACGAUUCUCUGAGGUGGAGGCUAGGGUUAUCUUCAGGCAUUUGAUGCAAGUGGUGUUUUAUUGUCAUGAAAUCGGGGUGGUUCACAGGGAUCUGAAGCCGGAGAAUAUCCUUUUGGCUACAAAAGCCUCAUCUUCACCUAUUAAACUGGCAGAUUUUGGUCUUGCAACCUAUAUCAACCCUGGUCAGAAUUUGCAUGGGACUGUUGGGAGUCCAUUUUAUAUAGCCCCAGAUGUAUUGACAGGGGGCUAUAAUCAGGCUGCCGAUGUUUGGAGUGCAGGGGUGAUUCUUUAUGUUCUUCUUAGUGGGACACCACCAUUUUGGGGUAAGACUAAGUCACGAAU